rnacentral:rRNA from 1 species
GAUGAACGCUGGCGGCGUGCCUAACACAUGCAAGUCGAGCGAUUCUCUUCGGAGAAGAGCGGCGGACGGGUGAGUAACGCGUGGGUAACCUGCCCUGUACACACGGAUAACAUACCGAAAGGUAUGCUAAUACGAGAUAAUAUGCUUUUAUCGCAUGGUAGAAGUAUCAAAUCGUUUGUGGUACAGGAUGGACCCGCGUAUGAUUAGCUAGUUGGUAAGGUAACGGCUUACCAAGGCGACGAUCAGUAGCCGACCUGAGAGGGUGAUCGGCCACCGUGGAACUGAGACACGGUCCAAACUCCUACGGGAGGCAGCAGUGGGGAAUAUUGCACAAUGGGCGAAAGCCUGAUGCAGCAACGCCGCGUGAGCGAUGAAGGCCUUCGGGUCGUAAAGCUCUGUCCUCAAGGAAGAUAAUGGCGGUACUUGAGGAGGAAGCCCCGGCUAACUACGUGCCAGCCGCCGCUGUAAUAC